rnacentral:misc_RNA from 1 species
AUCGAAGACGAUAGAUACCGUCGUA